UACGUAGGGUGCGAGCGUUAAUCGGAAUUACUGGGCGUAAAGCGUGCGCAGGCGGUUUUGUAAGCCCGAUGUGAAAUCCCCGGGCUCAACCUGGGAAUGGCAUUUGGGACUGCAAGGCUGGAGUGCGGCAGAGGAGACUGGAAUUCCUGGUGUAGCAGUGAAAUGCGUAGAUAUCAGGAGGAAUACCGAUGGCGAAGGCAGGUCUCUGGGCUGACACUGACGCUCAUGCACGAAAGCGUGGGGAGCAAACAGG
rnacentral:rRNA from 1 species